AUUGAACGCUGGCGGCAGGCCUAACACAUGCAAGUCGAGCGAGCGGCGGACGGGUGAGUAAUGUCUGGGAAACUGCCUGAUGGAGGGGGAUAACUACUGGAAACGGUAGCUAAUACCGCAUACCAUCAGAUGUGCCCAGGUGGGAUUAGCUAGUAGGGGGGGUAAAGGCUCACCUAGGCGACGAUCCCUAGCUGGUCUGAGAGGAUGACCAGCCACACUGGAACUGAGACACGGCCCAGACUCCUACGGGAGGCAGCAGUGGGGAAUCUUGGACAAUGGGCGCAAGCCUGAUGCAGCCAUGCCGCGUGUGUGAAGAAGGCCUUCGGGUUGUAAAGUACUUUCAGCGGGGAGGCGUUACCCGCAGAAGAAGCACCGGCUAACUCCGUGCCAGCAGCCGCGGUAAUAC
rnacentral:rRNA from 1 species